rnacentral:rRNA from 1 species
AUGAUGAACAUGAAAAUGGUCAAUGGUGCUAGAGUCAAGAGCUGGCUGUGUUUCAGCUUCGCUCGAAAUGUGCAAGAGAGUAUGAUUACUGGAUUCUGCCGUGAACUCGCUCGCAUGUGCCAAGCCUCAGGAAUGGACUUUGCUUUGGAGCCUGUUCUUCCGGUUAUAUACGUGCGCCCUGAUCAAGUGGAGCGAGGUUUGAAAGCCAGGUUCCAUGAUGCGAUGACCGCACUUGGACCGCAGCGCAAGGAAAUCGAGUUGCUUAUCGGAAUUCUCCCUGAUAACAAUGGAUCACUUUAUGGUGACCUGAAGCGUGUCUGCGAGAUCGACCUUGGGCUAAUUUCCCAGUGCUGUUUGACAAAGCAAGUGUUCAAGAUGAACAAGCAAAUCCUGGCAAACCUUUCUCUCAAGAUAAAUGUCAAGGUUGGGGGAAGGAACACUGUGGCUGAUGCGUUGACAAGGCGCAUUCCUUUGGUUACCGACAAGCCGACGAUCAUAUUCGGCGCAGAUGUCACCCAUCCUCAUCCUGGUGAAGACAGCAGCCCUUCCAUUGCUGCAGUUGUGGCCUCCCAGGAUUGGCCUGAGGUGACCAAGUAUGCUGGCCUAGUCUCUGCUCAGACUCACAGGCAGGAAUUAAUAGAGGAUCUGUACAAUGUCACUCAUGAUCCUCAGAGAGGAACCAUCCAUGGUGGCAUGGUUAGGGAGCUUCUUAUAUCCUUUAAGAGAACAACCGGAGAAAAGCCUGAGCGUAUUAUUUUCUAUAGAGAUGGUGUGAGUGAAGGCCAGUUCUACCAAGUUCUACUGCAUGAGCUUGAUGCCAUCAGAAAGGCAUGCGCAUCGCUGGAAGCAAACUACCAGCCGCUGGUUACGUUCGUCGUGGUCCGGAAGCGCCACCACACCAGGCUGUUUGCGCACAACCACAAUGACCAAAGCACCGUCGACAAGAGCGGCAACAUCCUUCCUGGCACUGUCAUUGACUCCAAGAUCUGCCACCCUACAGAAUUUGAUUUCUUCCUGUGCAGCCAUGCCGGCAUCAAGGGCACGAGCCGCCCCGCGCAUUACCAUGUCCUGUGGGAUGAGAACAACUUCAUUGCUGAUGGACUGCAGACCCUCACCAACAACCUCUGCUACACUUACGCGAGGUGCACGCGCUCGGUGUCUAUCGUCCCUCCAGCAUACUAUGCUCACCUGGCCGCCUUCCGCGCCCGCUUCUACAUGGAGCCGGACAGCUCCGACAGCGGCUCCAUCUCGAGCGCGCGCAAGUCCGGCUCGUCGACGUCCCGCAGCACCCGCGCCGCCGGCGCCGGGGUCGUCAGGCCCCUCCCUGCGCUCAAGGACAGCGUGAAGAAGGUCAUGUUCUACUGCUGA